rnacentral:rRNA from 1 species
UACAGAGGUCUCAAGCGUUGUUCGGAUUCAUUGGGCGUAAAGGGUGCGUAGGCGGCGCGGUAAGUCGGGUGUGAAAUCUCGGGGCUUAACUCCGAAACUGCAUUCGAUACUGCCGUGCUUGAGGACUGGAAAGGAGACUGGAAUUUACGGUGUAGCGGUGAAAUGCGUAGAUAUCGUAAGGAAGACCAGUGGCGAAGGCGGGUCUCUGGACAGUUCCUGACGCUGAGACGCGAAAGCGUGGGGAGCGAACAGG